AUACGGAGGGUGCAAGCGUUAAUCGGAAUUACUGGGCGUAAAGCGCGCGUAGGCGGUUUGGUAAGUCGGAUGUGAAAGCCCCGGGCUCAACCUGGGAAUUGCAUUCGAUACUGCCAGACUAGAGUAUGGUAGAGGGAAGUGGAAUUCCGGGUGUAGCGGUGAAAUGCGUAGAUAUCCGGAGGAACACCAGUGGCGAAGGCGACUUCCUGGACCAAUACUGACGCUGAGGUGCGAAAGCGUGGGGAGCAAACAGGAUUAGAUACCCCAGUAGUCC
rnacentral:rRNA from 1 species